rnacentral:rRNA from 1 species
AUUGAACGCUGGCGGAAUGCUUUACACAUGCAAGUCGAACGGCAGCAUGGACUUCGGUCUGGUGGCGAGUGGCGAACGGGUGAGUAAUGUAUCGGAACGUGCCCAGUCGUGGGGGAUAACGUAGUGAAAAUUACGCUAAUACCGCAUACGAUCUAUGGAUGAAAGCGGGGGAUCGCAAGACCUCGCGCGAUUGGAGCGGCCGAUAGCAGAUUAGGUAGUUGGUGGGGGAAAGGCCCACCAAGCCAACGAUCUGUAGCUGGUCUGAGAGGACGACCAGCCACACUGGAACUGAGACACGGUCCAGACUCCUACGGGAGGCAGCAGUGGGGAAUUUUGGACAAUGGGCGAAAGCCUGAUCCAGCCAUUCCGCGUGCAGGAUGAAGGCCCUCGGGUUGUAAACUGCUUUUGUACAGAACGAAAAGGUUUCUACUAAUACUAGGAGCUCAUGACGGUACUGUAAGAAUAAGCACCGGCUAACUACGUGCCAGCAGCCGCAGUAA